AGCGAACGCUGGCGGCGUGCUUAACACAUGCAAGUCGAGCGGAAAGGCUCCUUCGGGGGUACUCGAGCGGCGAACGGGUGAGUAACACGUGAGUAAUCUGCCCUGCGCUCUGGGAUAGCCACCGGAAACGGUGAUUAAUACCGGAUAUGACCGCUACACGCAUGUGUUGGUGGUGGAAAGUUUUUCGGCGCAGGAUGUGCUCGCGGCCUAUCAGCUUGUUGGUGAGGUAAUGGCUCACCAAGGCUUUGACGGGUAGCCGGCCUGAGAGGGUGACCGGUCACACUGGGACUGAGACACGGCCCAGACUCCUACGGGAGGCAGCAGUGGGGAAUAUUGGACAAUGGGCGGAAGCCUGAUCCAGCAACGCCGCGUGAGGGAUGACGGCCUUCGGGUUGUAAACCUCUUUCAGUACCGACGAAGCGAAAGUGACGGUAGGUACAGAAGAAGGACCGGCCAACUACGUGCCAGCAGCCGCCGUAAUAC
rnacentral:rRNA from 1 species